GAGUAAAGCUCCGGCGCUUCGGGAGAGGCCUGCGGCCCAUCAGCUAGUUGGUAGGGUAACGGCCUACCAAGGCAGAGACGGGUAGGGGGCGUGAGAGCGCGGACCCCACACUGGCACUGAGAUACGGGCCAGACUCCUACGGGAGGCAGCAGUAAGGGAUAUUGCGCAAUGGACGAAAGUCAGACGCAGCGACGCCGCGUGGGCGAUGAAGGCCUUCGGGUUGUAAAGCCCUUUUAUGGGGGAAGAGAAAAAGGACGGUACCCCAGGAAUAAGUCCCGGCUAACUACGUGCCAGCAGCCGCGGUAAAACGUAGGGGGCAAGCGUUAUCCGGAUUCACUGGGCGUAAAGAGCGUUGAGGCGGUUCCGUAAGUUGGGCGUGAAAGCUCCGGGCUUAACUCGGAGAUGUCGUUCAAUACUGCGGGGCUUGAGGACAGCAGAGGAAGGUGGAAUUCCCGGUGUAGUGGUGAAAUGCGUAGAUAUCGGGAGGAACACCCGUGGCGAAGGCGGCCUUCUGGGCUGUUCCUGACGCUGAAGGCGAAAGCUAGGGGAGCGAACGGGAUUAGAUACCCCGGUAGUCCUAGCUGUAAACGAUGGAUGCUGGGUGUGGGGGGUGUAAAUUCCCUCUGUGCCGAAGCAAACGCGUUAAGCAUCCCGCCUGGGGACUACGGCCGCAAGGCUAAAACUCAAACGAAUUGACGGGGGCCCGCACAAGCAGCGGAGCGUGUGGUUUAAUUCGAUGCUACACGAAGAACCUUACCUGGGUUUGACAUGCACGUGGUAGGGAACCGAAAGGGGACCGACCUUCGGGAGCGUGCACAGGUGCUGCAUGGCUGUCGUCAGCUCGUGCCGUGAGGUGUCGGGUUAAGUCCCGUAACGAGCGCAACCCUUGCCCUUAGUUACAAGUGUCUAAGGGGACUGCCCGGGACAACUGGGAGGAAGGUGGGGAUGACGUCAAGUCAGCAUGGCCUUUAUAUCCAGGGCUACACACACGCUACAAUGGCCGGUACAAUAGGUUGCGAAGUCGUGAGGCGGAGCCAAUCCUCAAAGCCGGUCUCAGUUCGAAUUGCAGUCUGCAACUCGACUGCAUGAAGCUGGAGUUGCUAGUAAUCGCAGGUCAGCUAUACUGCGGUGAUACGUUCCCGG
rnacentral:rRNA from 1 species